UACGAAGGGGGCUAGCGUUGUUCGGAAUCACUGGGCGUAAAGCGCACGUAGGCGGAUCUUUAAGUCAGGGGUGAAAUCCCGAGGCUCAACCUCGGAACUGCCUUUGAUACUGGGGAUCUCGAGUUCGGGAGAGGUGAGUGGAACUGCGAGUGUAGAGGUGAAAUUCGUAGAUAUUCGCAAGAACACCAGUGGCGAAGGCGGCUCACUGGCCCGGUACUGACGCUGAGGUGCGAAAGCGUGGGGAGCAAACAGG
rnacentral:rRNA from 1 species